rnacentral:rRNA from 1 species
AAUUGACGGGGAGCACACAACAGGUGGAGCCUGCGGUUUAAUCGGACUCAACGCCGGGAAACUCACCAGAUAAGACAGCUGAAUGAUAGUCGGGCUGAAGACUCACUUGACUAGCUGAGAGGAGGUGCAUGGCCGUCGUCAGUUCGUACUGUGAAGCAUCCUGUUAAGUCAGGCAACGAGCGAGACCCACGCCAACAGUUGCCAGCUCGUCCUCCGGGAUGGUGGGGACACUGUUGGGACCGCCUCUGCUAAAGAGGAGGAAGGAAUGGGCAACGGUAGGUCAGCAUGCCCCGAAUUAUCUGGGCUACACGCGGGCUACAAUGGGUGGGACAAUGGGUAUCGACACCGAAAGGUGAAGGCAAUCUCCUAAACCUGUCCUUAGUUCGGAUUGUGGGCUGCAACUCGCCCACAUGAAGCUGGAAUCCGUAGUAAUCGCGUUUCAAAAUAGCGCGGUGAAUAUGUCCCUGCUCCUU